AGUGAACGCUGGCGGCAGGCCUAACACAUGCAAGUCGAGCGGCAGCGGGUCCCGCGAGGGGAGUGCCGGCGAGCGGCGGACGGGUGAGGAACACAUCGGAAUCUGCCUGGUUGUGGGGGAUAACGUAGGGAAACUUACGCUAAUACCGCAUGCGACCCUGAGUCGACGGACUUGGGGUGAAAGUGAGGGGACCUUCGGGCCUCACGCGACCAGAUGAGCCGAUGUCGGANAGUCUAGUUGGCGGGGUAACGGCCCGCCAAGGCGGACGAUCCGUAGCUGGUCGUGAGAGGAUGAUCAGCCACAUUGGG
rnacentral:rRNA from 1 species